CUUUUUGAGAGUUUGAUCCUGGCUCAGGAUGAACGCUGGCGGCGUGUUUUAGGCAUGCAAGUCGAACGAAUUUUGUCGCAAGACAAGAUGAGUGGCAAACGGGUGCGUAACACAUUGGUAACCUACCUUAGACACGGGCACAACGCCGCGAAAGCGGCGCUAAUACCCGAUAGUUUUUCCUGUCGCCGGAUGGGAAAGUAAAUGGCGCAAGCCGGUCUGAGAGGGGCCUAUGGUCUAUCAGCUAGUUGGUGAGGUAAUGGCUCACCAAGGCAAUGACAGAUAGCGGGCGUGAGAGCGCGACCCGCCUCAGUGGGACUGAGACACUGCCCACACUCCUACGGGAGGCUGCAGUCAAGAAUAUUCCCCAAUGGACGAAAGUCUGAGGGAGCGACGCCGCGUGCAGGAAGAAACCCCUCGGGGCGUAAACUGCUUUUCUCUGGGAAUAACUCUGAAGGUACCAGAGGAAUAAGAGGCUGCUAACUUCGUGCCAGCAGCAGCGGUAAUACGAAGGCCUCAAGCGUUAUCCGGAUUUAUUGGGCGUAAAGAGUUCAACGGUGGUUUGGAACGUUCUCGGUCAAAUUGCAUCGCUCAACGGUGCAACUGCUGGGAAAACGGCCAGACUUGAGCCUGGGAGAGGCAGACGGAAUUGUCGGUGUAGUAGUAAAAUGCGCUAAUAUCGACAAGAACACCAAUAGCGAAGGCAGUCUGCUGGAACAGUGCUGACACUUCACGAACGAAAGCGUGGGGAGCGAUACGGAUUAGAUACCCGUGUAGUCCACGCCGUAAACGAUGGGUACUAGGCAUUGCGGGAUUCGACCCCUGCAGUGUCGGUUAGACGAGCUAACGCGUUAAGUACCCCGCCUGGGGAGUACGGCCGCAAGGCUAAAACUCAAAGGAAUUGACGGGAGCCCGCACAAGUGGUGGAGCAUGUGGUUUAAUUCGACGAUAAACGAGGAACCUUACCAGGUCUUGACAUCCCGAGAAAGCCGCCGAAAGGUGGCCGUGCCGCAAGGAACUCGGUGACAGGUGCUGCAUGGCUGUCGUCAGCUCGUGUCGUGAGACGUUGGGUUAAGUCCCCUAACGAGCGCAACCCUCGUGUUAUGUUAAAAUAUUCAUAACAGACUGCCGGCUUUAAGCCGGAGGAAGGCGAGGAUGACGUCAAGUCAGCAUGGUCCUCUGACGACCUGGGCUACACACGUGCUACAAUGGGGCGCAACAAAGGGACGCCAACCCGCAAGGGGGAGCCAAUCCCAUCAAACCGCCCCUCAGUUCAGAUUGAGGGCUGCAACUCGCCCUCAUGAAGCUGGAAUCACUAGUAACCGCGCAUCAGCUAUGGUGCGGUGAAUACGUUCUCGGGCUUUGUACACACCGCCCGUCACGCCAAGAGAGUCGGAAAUGCCUGAAGCUUCCACUUCGGUGGGAAUUAAGGCAGGUUCGAUGAUAGGGGCGAAGUCGUAACAAGGCAUCGGUAGCGGAAGCUGUCGAUGGAUCACCUCCUUU
rnacentral:rRNA from 1 species